rnacentral:rRNA from 1 species
GACGAACGCUGGCGGUGUGCUUCACACAUGCAAGUCGAACGAGGUAGCAAUACCUAGUGGCGGACGGGUGAGUAACGCGUGGGAAUCUGCCUUUAGAUGGGGGGAUAACGGGGUCGAAAGACUCGCUAAUACCGCAUAUGACGAAAGUUGAAAGGAGUAAUCCGUCUAAAGAUGAGCCCGCGUCCGAUUAGCUAGUUGGUAGAGUAAAAGCCUACCAAGGCGACGAUCGGUAGCUGGGUCUGAGAGGAUGAUCAGCCACAAUGGGAACUAGAGACACGGCCCAUACU